rnacentral:rRNA from 1 species
CCUACGGGCGGCUGCAGUGGGGAAUAUUGCACAAUGGGCGCAAGCCUGAUGCAGCCAUGCCGCGUGUGUGAAGAAGGCCUUCGGGUUGUAAAGCACUUUCAGCGGGGAGGAAGGCGGUGAGGUUAAUAACCUCAUCGAUUGACGUUACCCGCAGAAGAAGCACCGGCUAACUCCGUGCCAGCAGCCGCGGUAAUACGGAGGGUGCAAGCGUUAAUCGGAAUUACUGGGCGUAAAGCGCACGCAGGCGGUCUGUCAAGUCGGAUGUGAAAUCCCCGGGCUCAACCUGGGAACUACAUUCGAAACUGGCAGGCUAGAGUCGUGUAGAGGGGGGUAGAAUUCCAGGUGUAGCGGUGAAAUGCGUAGAGAUCUGGAGGAAUACCGGUGGCGAAGGCGGCCCCCUGGACAAAGACUGACGCUCAGGUGCGAAAGCGUGGGGAGCAAACAGGAUUAGAUACCCUAGUAGUC